rnacentral:rRNA from 1 species
GAUGAACGCUGACAGAAUGCUUAACACAUGCAGUCACUGAUUGUGGCGGACGCGUGAGUAACGCGUAAAGAACUUACCUCACAGUUAGGGACAACAUUUGGAUACGAAUGCUAAUACUUAAUACUGUGAGAGAGGUUUGCGUCCCAUUAGCUUGUUGGAGAGGCAACGGCUCACCUAGGCGAUGAUGGGUGGCCGGCCUGAGAGGGUGAUCGGCCGCGAGGGGACUGAGGAACGGCCCUUGCUCAUACGGGAGGCAGGAGUGGGGAGUGUUGGACAAUGGACCGAAGUCUGAUCCAGCCAUUCUGUGUGCACGAUGAAGUUUUAGGAAUGUAAAGUGGUUUCAGUUAGGAAGCGGUACCAACAGAAGAAGUGACGGCUAAAUACGUGCCAGCAGCCGCGGUAAUAC